GACGUAGGGGGCCAGCGUUGUUCGGAAUUACUGGGUGUAAAGGGUUCGUAGGCGGUGUGGCAAGUUGGGAGUGAAAUCUCUGGGCUCAACCCAGAGGCUGCUUCCAAAACUGCCAUGCUUGAGUGUGGGAGAGGCGCGUGGAAUUGCAGGUGUAGCGGUGAAAUGCGUAGAUAUCUGCAGGAACACCCGUGGCGAAAGCGGCGCGCUGGACCACUACUGACGCUGAGGCGCGAAAGCUAGGGGAGCAAACAGG
rnacentral:rRNA from 1 species